rnacentral:rRNA from 1 species
GACGAACGCUGGCGGCGUGCUUAACACAUGCAAGUCGAACGAAGAGCGAUGGAAGCUUGCUUCUAUCAAUCUUAGUGGCGAACGGGUGAGUAACGCGUAAUCAACCUGCCCUUCAGAGGGGGACAACAGUUGGAAACGACUGCUAAUACCGCAUACGAUCUAAUCUCGGCAUCGAGGAUAGAUGAAAGGUGGCCUCUACAUGUAAGCUAUCACUGAAGGAGGGGAUUGCGUCUGAUUAGCUAGUUGGAGGGGUAACGGCCCACCAAGGCGAUGAUCAGUAGCCGGUCUGAGAGGAUGAACGGCCACAUUGGGACUGAGACACGGCCCAGACUCCUACGGGAGGCAGCAGUGGGGAAUCUUCCGCAAUGGACGAAAGUCUGACGGAGCAACGCCGCGUGAGUGAUGACGGCCUUCGGGUUGUAAAGCUCUGUUAAAUCGGG